GGGCUGGAGGCAGCCAUAUUGUUUUCAUAGAACCAUGGCAACGGCCAGCUAGACAGGGACACGCAAGGGAUUCUGGGAGGUGUAGUCCUUUGCAUCCUGAAGAGGCAGGGGGGCAACUGUUGCCAGGCAACGAGCUCGCCUAGCAACACAGCAGCGAGCCUGGGAGGCGUCUUAAAGGGGCGCAGCAUGCGAGCAGCACUGAAAGAGGGAUUUCCUGGUCCAGCUUGUUCCAGGCUAAGGGACUCUAUAGAGAAGUGUGGGAUCUGGGCCUAGCAGCAGUCAGUUCUGCAGACAGGCAGUCAGCCAACAGUAAGGUGAGAUGGGGAAAACUGAGGCAGAGAGAGAAGAAGUGACUUAUCCAUGGCCAAACAGUGAGUCUGUGGCAGCAUCCUGAUUCCUUCUCAAAGCACUAAACCUCCUGGACGACAGCUCUUGGGGGAAGCCUGGAGAGACGCCACCAUCCAUUUAACUUCUAGUCAAACCUCGCUACGGGUAACAUCUGCCUCCUGGUGAAACAAGCCAUCUCAGGGGACAUUCACACUCUGGUCCAUUCCACAGUCUCUGAUGAUGAUGCUGUGGCUGUGUCAGAUGCCGCGACGCCGUGGUGAUGGGCACGGUAUCAGCAUAGAUAGUGUAGACAGACCUUCCUCACAAUCAGCCCGUAGUCUGGCAGUCUGUAAUACUCCAGUGCUCCAGGGGUCAGGACACUUUACCUUCCUUUUCCCCUUUGUUUGGUUUUGUUAACAAGCCCUAGAAAUUAAAAAUGGUGUG